rnacentral:rRNA from 1 species
UACGGAGGGGGCUAGCGUUGCUCGGAAUCACUGGGCGUAAAGGGUGCGUAGGCGGGGUUUUAAGUCAGGGGUGAAAUCCUGGAGCUCAACUCCAGAACUGCCUUUGAUACUGAAGAUCUUGAGUCCGGGAGAGGUGAGUGGAACUGCGAGUGUAGAGGUGAAAUUCGUAGAUAUUCGCAAGAACACCAGUGGCGAAGGCGGCUCACUGGCCCGGUACUGACGCUGAGGCACGAAAGCGUGGGGAGCAAACAGG